UACGGAGGGUGCAAGCGUUGUCCGGAUUUAUUGGGUUUAAAGGGUGCGUAGGCGGCUAAUUAAGUCAGUGGUGAAAUACAGCAGCUCAACUGUUGAGGUGCCAUUGAUACUGAAUAGCUUGAGUACAGAUGAGGUAGGCGGAAUUUAUGGUGUAGCGGUGAAAUGCAUAGAUACCAUAAAGAACACCGAUUGCGAAGGCAGCUUACUAGCUGUAACUGACGCUGAGGCACGAAAGCGUGGGGAGCGAACAGG
rnacentral:rRNA from 1 species